rnacentral:RNase_P_RNA from 2 species
AGCGUCUCGCGUUUACCCGCUUACAUACGUAGCGGUCUUUUAGGCUGCUAGCCAACUAAUGCGGGUGGGAAAUUCGGUGGUUCUCCCCAUCCACACGGUAGGGAUUGGCCGCUAGCGACCUCUCACUACCGUGCCUAUCGAUGUAUGUGAAUAUUCCUCGGCGCGAAAGCGCUGGGCAGCGCCAUCAGAAAAUAGCCAGUGAGACAUUCUCUAGGGAAUUCUCACUGGCAUGGGAGGCGUUGCGGAUGGUUGGUCCUUCAUAGAGAGGAAGGGCUGUUGAGUGCAAUAUGCGAGCAAUAAGCACCCGAUACCGAUCAUCGCU